UACAGAGGGGGCAAGCGUUAUUCGGAAUUAUUGGGCGUAAAGGGCGCGUAGGCGGCAUGGCAAGUGGAUGGUGAAAUCCCUCGGCUUAACCGAGGAACUGCCGUCCAAACUGCUUCGCUUGAGACCGGGAGAGGUGAGUGGAAUUCCCGGUGUAGCGGUGAAAUGCGUAGAGAUCGGGAGGAACACCCGUGGCGAAGGCGGCCAUCUGGACCAGCACUGACGCUGGGGCACGAAAGCGUGGGGAGCAAACAGG
rnacentral:rRNA from 1 species